CUGAUUUCAAUCGCGAUGCAAGCCAGCUGUCCGGAUGCCGCCGACGCCAGCAGCGCGGUACCUGCGCGGGCAGCAGCUGCCCCGCGCCGACUUCCAGCUCCGCCCGGUGCCCAGCGUUUUCGCGCCCCAAGAGCAGGAAUACCAGCAGGCCUUGUUGCUGGUGGCGGCCUUGGCGGGCCUGGGCUUGGGCCUGAGCCUCAUUUUCAUCGCUGUCUACCUCAUCCGCUUCUGCUGCUGCCGGCCCCCCGAGCCCCCCGGGUCCAAGAUCCCCUCGCCCGGGGGAGGCUGCGUCACCUGGAGCUGCAUUGUCGCCCUUCUCGCCGGCUGCACUGGCAUUGGCAUCGGUUUCUAUGGCAACAGUGAGACCAGUGAUGGGGUGUCCCAGCUCAGCUCUGCGCUGCUGCACGCCAACCACACACUCAGCACCAUUGACCACCUGGUGUUGGAGACGGUGGAGAGGCUGGGCGAGGCGGUGAGGACAGAGCUGACCACCCUGGAGGAGGUG
rnacentral:misc_RNA from 1 species